AAGGUAGUCCAGCCCGGGCGGUGGUUGUCCCGGGGUAAGGGUGUAGGCCGUGCGGUAGGUAAAUCCGUCGCACACAAGGCUGAGACCUGAUGCCGAGCCGAUUGUGGUGAAGUGGAUGAUCCUAUGCUGUCGAGAAAAGCCUCUAGCGAGUUUCAUGGCGGCCGUACCCUAACCGACUCAGGUGGUCAGGUAGAGAAUACCGAGGCGUUCGGGUGAACUAUGGUUAAGGAACUCGGCAAAAUGCCCCGUAACUUCGGGAGAAGGGGGCCACGAUCUGGUGAUGAG
rnacentral:ncRNA from 1 species